GCUUAGGGUGGAGCUCAGUGGCAGAGUGCUUGCCUGGCAAGCAUGAGGACCUGGGUUCAAUCCCCAGCCCUGCA
rnacentral:tRNA from 1 species